GUGUGCUGAAUUGUCAUUUAUGGAACUUUUCAGUUUCAAUGUGCUCAGUUUUAACAGCUGAUGGAACUGUGGCAGCUCCAAUCCCGGGUUUAUCCUUGUAUUUACAUUGAUUACAUUUAACGCUGCAUCGAACGCUAACUUACUGCAAACUGCAGUAGCUAAAGGGAAGUCCCCCUUGCAGGGAACAAGCAGCGAGGGGCGCAGCAUGUGCUCCUUGCAGGGGGCGGUAGCACGCAGUUGAGGACGGGCACCUGCCCCAGCCCCAGCAAGGCACAGGUGGGCCAGGGUCGUUACUGCAGCUGGGGCUCCGGAGCAGCUGAGGGUUGUUAAGACUUGAAUAGGCACAAAAGGGUUGGGGAUUGGUGUGGAAGCAAGGUAAAGCGUUUCUUAUUUGUUGCAGGGAAGCUUUUGAAUUAGGGGUGUGAGGGAGAAGAGGGGCGGCUUCUAAGAUAAAAUGGCUGCGGGGAGGGGGAAAGAGUGCACGGCGGUUGGUGUCUGCCUCGCUGCCCUCGAGACGGGAUGCGCCUGUGGACCACUUCUGCUGUCCUGUGGUGGGAGGCACUUGGAAGUGAGUCGUGCUGCGUGUGAGGGAGGGACGGUGCUGCUGCUGCCUUCCAAUGGCUUCUGGAAAAGUGCAGAAAUGUGGAAAGGGUGAGAAGAAAAGCUGCCCUCUUCAGUGACAACUGCAGCCUGGCAUACUCCAAAUGAUUACCAGGAGGUUAACCAUGGAAAGAAGGGAUGGUAGGAGAAGGAUUUGGGUAUUGCCUGCUUGGAACCCUUCUGCUGCUCUGGGAAAGAAGCUUUGCCUUUCUGUGCACCUGAGCAGAUUGUAUCUUCAGCCAGUCAUGGCUUUUUGUGCCCUGGGGAAGAUAAAGCAUUCUUAAGUUUUAAAGGAUAUAAAUAGCAGAUCCUUCUUUGAUUGUUUGUUUUACAAUAUUUUCACUUGAAGAAGUAUGAUUUGGAUAAGCAGCUGCAUGCUGCUGGUUAGAAGGCCUCUGUCCUGCAGCUCUACUGACUGAUGAGUAGCAUCACUGAAGGGGGUAUGACCCAGCAUGUUGCAGCUUAUGUGUGGCUGACACUGUGAGGACCAGAUUCUCAUACUUCAUUACUACAGUUUAGAUACUUUGUUAAUAAGCUUUUUUAUGGGG
rnacentral:lncRNA from 1 species